ACGAACGCUGGCGGCGUGCCUAAUACAUGCAAGUAGAACGCUGAAGAGAGGAGCUUGCUCUUCUUGGAUGAGUUGCGAACGGGUGAGUAACGCGUAGGUAACCUGCCUUGUAGCGGGGGAUAACUAUUGGAAACGAUAGCUAAUACCGCAUAACAAUGGAUGACACAUGUCAUUUAUUUGAAAGGGGCAAUUGCUCCACUACAAGAUGGACCUGCGUUGUAUUAGCUAGUAGGUGAGGUAACGGCUCACCUAGGCGACGAUACAUAGCCGACCUGAGAGGGUGAUCGGCCACACUGGGACUGAGACACGGCCCAGACUCCUACGGGAGGCAGCAGUAGGGAAUCUUCGGCAAUGGGGGCAACCCUGACCGAGCAACGCCGCGUGAGUGAAGAAGGUUUUCGGAUCGUAAAGCUCUGUUGUAAGUCAAGAACGAGUGUGAGAGUGGAAAGUUCACACUGUGACGGUAGCUUACCAGAAAGGGACGGCUAACUACGUGCCAGCAGCCGCGGUAAUACGUAGGUCCCGAGCGUUGUCCGGAUUUAUUGGGCGUAAAGCGAGCGCAGGCGGUUUGAUAAGUCUGAAGUUAAAGGCUGUGGCUCAACCAUAGUUCGCUUUGGAAACUGUCAAACUUGAGUGCAGAAGGGGAGAGUGGAAUUCCAUGUGUAGCGGUGAAAUGCGUAGAUAUAUGGAGGAACACCGGUGGCGAAAGCGGCUCUCUGGUCUGUAACUGACGCUGAGGCUCGAAAGCGUGGGGAGCGAACAGGAUUAGAUACCCUGGUAGUCCACGCCGUAAACGAUGAGUGCUAGGUGUUGGAUCCUUUCCGGGAUUCAGUGCCGCAGCUAACGCAUUAAGCACUCCGCCUGGGGAGUACGACCGCAAGGUUGAAACUCAAAGGAAUUGACGGGGGCCCGCACAAGCGGUGGAGCAUGUGGUUUAAUUCGAAGCGACGCGAAGAACCUUACCAGGUCUUGACAUCCCGAUGCUAUUUCUAGAGAUAGAAAGUUACUUCGGUACAUCGGUGACAGGUGGUGCAUGGUUGUCGUCAGCUCGUGUCGUGAGAUGUUGGGUUAAGUCCCGCAACGAGCGCAACCCCUAUUGUUAGUUGCCAUCAUUCAGUUGGGCACUCUAGCGAGACUGCCGGUAAUAAACCGGAGGAAGGUGGGGAUGACGUCAAAUCAUCAUGCCCCUUAUGACCUGGGCUACACACGUGCUACAAUGGUUGGUACAACGAGUUGCGAGUCGGUGACGGCAAGCUAAUCUCUUAAAGCCAAUCUCAGUUCGGAUUGUAGGCUGCAACUCGCCUACAUGAAGUCGGAAUCGCUAGUAAUCGCGGAUCAGCACGCCGCGGUGAAUACGUUCCCGGGCCUUGUACACACCGCCCGUCACACCACGAGAGUUUGUAACACCCGAAGUCGGUGAGGUAACCUUUUGGAGCCAGCCGCCUAAGGUGGGAUAGAUGAUUGGGGUG
rnacentral:rRNA from 1 species